rnacentral:rRNA from 1 species
AUUGAACGCUGGCGGCAGGCCUAACACAUGCAAGUCGAGCGGCAGCGGGACCUUCGGGUCGCCGGCGAGCGGCGGACGGGUGAGUAAUGCCUAGGAAUCUGCCUGUUAGUGGGGGAUAACGCGGGGAAACUCGCGCUAAUACCGCAUACGUCCUACGGGAGAAAGUGGGGGACCUUCGGGCCUCACGCUAACAGAUGAGCCUAGGUCGGAUUAGCUAGUUGGUGGGGUAACGGCCCACCAAGGCGACGAUCCGUAACUGGUCUGAGAGGAUGAUCAGUCACACUGGAACUGAGACACGGUCCAGACUCCUACGGGAGGCAGCAGUGGGGAAUAUUGGACAACGGGCGAAAGCCUGAUCCAGCCAUGCCGCGUGUGUGAAGAAGGUCUUCGGAUUGUAAAGCACUUUAAGCCGGGAGGAAGGGCUGUAGGCGAAUACCCUGCAGUCUUGACGUUACCGGCAGAAUAAGCACCGGCUAACUUCGUGCCAGCAGCCGCAGUAAAAC